GACGAACGCUGGCGGCACGCCUAACACAUGCAAGUCGAACGAGCGAGAGAGAGCUUGCUUUCUUGAGCGAGUGGCGAACGGGUGAGUAACGCGUGAGGAACCUGCCUCAAAGAGGGGGACAACAGUUGGAAACGACUGCUAAUACCGCAUAAGCCCACGGUGCCGCAUGGCACAGAGGGAAAAGGAGCAAUCCGCUUUGAGAUGGCCUCGCGUCCGAUUAGCUAGUUGGUGAGGUAACGGCCCACCAAGGCGACGAUCGGUAGCCGGACUGAGAGGUUGAACGGCCACAAUGGGACUGAGACACGGCCCAGACUCCUACGGGAGGCAGCAGUAGGGAAUAUUGCGCAAGGGGGGAAACCCUGAUGCAGCGACGCCGCGUGGAGGAAGAAGGUCUUCGGAUUGUAAACUCCUGUUGUUGGGGAAGAUAAUGACGGUACCCAACAAGGAAGUGACGGCUAACUACGUG
rnacentral:rRNA from 1 species